rnacentral:lncRNA from 1 species
UUUUUUUUUUUCUUUGGUGCAGCUUCUAGUUAACCCAAUGUUCCAGAGCUGCCACUGGAAAACGAAAACGCACUCCUAAUACAAAGAGGUUAAUGAUUUGUCUUCUACAAUAUUACUUUACGGAAUGUGCAUGUCAAAGGCUAAGGUCCUGAUUCACUUCAACCAUACAAGUGUGUGAGAAAACAAUUUGGAAAAACUCCAAGUUUGUAAACAAGCAGGUCUGUUCUUCUCUCACAGUUUGCUUUGUUCAUAGACUCAUAGUAUCAACAAGGUUUGGAAAGACCUUUAAGAUCAUCAAGUCCAACCAUUAACCCAGGACUGCCAAGACCAGCACUAAAUCAUAUCACUGAAGGCUUAAUCUACACAGUUUUUGAACACUUCCCGGGACAGUGAUUCUACCACUUCCCUGGAAAACCUGUUCUAAUACCUGAUCACCCUCUCUGUGAAGAAACUUUUCAUUGGUCCUGCCUGUCCAGAUCCCUCUGCAGACCCCUCCUAUUCUUCAGGAGAUUAACACUCCCAGACGUCUUGGUGUCAUCCACAAAUUUACUGAGGGUGCACUCGAUCCCCUCAUCCAGAUCACCAAUGAAGAUAUUAAACAACACAGUCCUAGCACCAAGCCCUGAGGGACACCACUACCAACCAGUCUCCAACUAGAUGUGAUACCAUUUACCACCACUCUUUGGGUUCAGCCAUCCAGCCAGUUUCCAACCCAGCCAGUUUCCAGGCCAUGAGCAGCCGAUUUCUCCAGGAGGACACUGUGGGAGACAGUGUCAAGUGCUUUACUUAAAUCCAAAUAUACAAUCUCCACAGCCUUUCCCUCAUGAACCAGCCGAGUCACCUUAUUGUAGAAGGAGACCAGGUUGGUCAAGCAGGACCUGCCCUUAAUGACCCCAUGCUGACUGGGCCUGAUACCUCCUUUUCCCCGCAUGUGCUUCAUGAUCUCACUCAGGAUCAUCUGCUCCCUGACUCUCCUGGCACUUAGGUCAGGCUGCCAGGCCUGUAGUUCCCAGGGUCUUCCUUCCUGCCCAUUCUGUAGAGAGGCAUCACACUGGCCAACCUCCAA